rnacentral:rRNA from 1 species
AUUGAACGCUGGCGGCAUGCCUUACACAUGCAAGUCGAACGGCAGCACGGGAGCAAUCCUGGUGGCGAGUGGCGAACGGGUGAGUAAAGUAUCGGAACGUGCCCAGUCGUGGGGGAUAACGUAGCGAAAGUUACGCUAAUACCGCAUACGAUCUAUGGAUGAAAGCGGGGGAUCGCAAGACCUCGCGCGAUUGGAGCGGCCGAUAUCAGAUUAGGUAGUUGGUGGGGUAAAGGCUCACCAAGCCGACGAUCUGUAGCUGGUCUGAGAGGACGACCGGCCACACUGGGACUGAGACACGGCCCAGACUCCUACGAGAGGCAGCAGUGGGGAAUUUUGGACAAUGGGCGCAAGCCUGAUCCAGCCAUGCCGCGUGCAGGAUGAAGGCCUUCGGGUUGUAAACUGCUUUUGUACGGAACGAAAAGGUUUGACUUAAUACGUUGGACUCAUGACGGUACCGUAAGAAUAAGCACCGGCUAACUACGUGCCAGCCGCCGCCGUAACAC